AAAGCAAUAUAUUUUAGCUGCGUAAGCUAAUAUAUAUUGUACUUUUUUUGAGCCUUGUGCCGACUAUCAGAAGUAGAGCCUGUUGUUCUAUGGAUAGGAAAGUUAACGCUUUUUUUGACAGCUUCGGCUUUUAGUUAUUUAUUCGCAUAAAAUUCUAUAUAGAAUACAGAUAAUGACUAUUUUCUAUAUAAAAGUCUUGACCAAAACACGUGCCAGCAGUCGCGGCAACACGGGACAGACUAGUGUUAUUCAUCUUUAAUAGGUUUAAAGGGUACCUAGACGGCAAAAAUAUCCCCGAUAAUCGGGUUUGUGCUUUUUGCUAGAGUUUUAUAUAAGAGGGGUUUAGUACUAUCGGAGUAGAGAUGAAAUUCUUUGAUACUGUAGGGCACUGGUAAAGGCGAAGGCAGACCUUUAUGUAAAAACUGACGUUGAGGGACGAAGGCUAGGGUAACAAACAGGAUUAGGUACCCUAAUAGUCCUUGCAGAGACUGAUGAGUGUCAUAGGUCAGAUAUCUUUUUUUUUUUAAUGUAAAUAAGUGUAUAUGUUAUAAAAAUGCUAACAUAUAUACACGUUAUAAGUAUAUACAAAAUCUUAAUCUUAAUUUACAUAAAAAAUUGGUAAAUUUGGUUUAUAAAUGAAAGUGUAAGCACUCCACCUCAAGAGUAAUGCGGCUACGCAGGAACUGAAAUCAUUAGACCGUUUCUGAUACCAGUAGUGAAGUAUGUUGUUUAAUUCGAUGACCCACGAAAAAUCUUACCACAAUUUGUAUAUUAUAUCACCUUUUGGUAUGUGAUUUAAUAAUUAUUAAAUUAUGAAAGUGUUAUAAUACAGGUGUUGCAUGGCUGUCUUCAGUUGAUGUCGUGAGAUGAGGGUUAGAUCCUGAGAAUCAACGUAGAACCCAUAUUUUAUUUUUAUAAAUAGAGUAGUUUCGCCGCGAUAAUGGUAUGAUA
rnacentral:rRNA from 1 species